rnacentral:rRNA from 1 species
GAACGCUAGCGACAGGCUUAACACAUGCAAGGUCGAGGGGUAACAGGGUAGCAAUACCGCUGACGACCGGCGCACGGGUGAGUAACGCGUAUCGCAACCUGCCUAGUAACUGGGGAAUAGCUCCCUGAAAGGGGAAUUAACACCGCAUAACACUAUUGAUUCGCAUGGAUUGGUAGUUAAAUGUAGCGAUACAGGUUAUAGAUGGGCAUGCGUGACAUUAGCUAGUUGGUGAGGUAACGGCUCACCAAGGCUACGAUGUCUAGGGGUUCUGAGAGGAAGGUCCCCCACACUGGUACUGAGACACGGACCAGACUCCUACGGGAGGCAGCAGUGAGGAAUAUUGGUCAAUGGGCGCAAGCCUGAACCAGCCAUGUCGCGUGCAGGAAGACUGCCCUAUGGGUUGUAAACUGCUUUUAUAGUAGAAGAAACACAUCUACGAGUAGAUGUCUGCCAGUAUACUAUGAAUAAGCAUCGGCUAACUCCGUG